GGGAGAUUCAAGAGCGAGUGUUUGAGUACUUUAAUUCGAGGCCUGAAUUGCAGACGCCGGUAGAGAUCUCCAUGAACGAUCAUCGGGAGCUUUGUAUGAAGCAAUUGAUCGGUUUGGUGAGGGAGGCCGGAAUUAGGCCGUUUAGGUUUGUGAAUGAAGAUCCUGCUAAAUAUUUCGCCAUUAUGGAGGCUGUUGGAAGCGUCGAUGUCUCUCUCGCCAUUAAGAUGGGCGUCCAGUUCAGUCUUUG
rnacentral:misc_RNA from 1 species